GGCUUGUAGUCAUAUGCUUGUCUCAAAGAUUAAGCCAUGCAUGUCUAAGUAUACGCAAAUUAUACUGUGAAACUGCGAAUGGCUCAUUAAAUCAGUUAUAGUUUAUUUGAUGUUUCUUGCUACAUGGAUAACAGUGGUAAUUCUAGAGCUAAUACAUGCGUAAAAAGCCCCGACUUCUGGAAGGGGUGUAUUUAUUAGAUAAAAACCAUCCUCCUCGGAGUUUGGUGAUUCAUAAUAACUUCUCGAAUCGCACGGCCUUGUGCUGGCGAUGCUUCAUUCAAAUAUCUGCCCUAUCAACUGUCGAUGGUAGGAUAGAGGCCUACCAUGGUUGCAACGGGCAACGGGGAAUAAGGGUUCGAUUCCGGAGAGGGAGCCUGAGAAACAGCUACCACAUCCAAGGAAGGCAGCAGGCGCGCAAAUUACCCAAUCCCGAC
rnacentral:rRNA from 1 species